rnacentral:rRNA from 1 species
AGUGAACGCUGGCGGUAGGCCUAACACAUGCAAGUCGAACGGCAGCACAGUAAGAGCUUGCUCUUACGGGUGGCGAGUGGCGGACGGGUGAGGAAUACAUCGGAAUCUACUUUUUCGUGGGGGAUAACGUAGGGAAACUUACGCUAAUACCGCAUACGACCUACGGGUGAAAGCAGGGGAUCUUCGGACCUUGCGCGAUUGAAUGAGCCGAUGUCGGAUUAGCUAGUUGGCGGGGUAAAGGCCCACCAAGGCGACGAUCCGUAGCUGGUCUGAGAGGAUGAUCAGCCACACUGGAACUGAGACACGGUCCAGACUCCUACGGGAGGCAGCAGUGGGGAAUCUUGGCCAAUGGGCGCAAGCCUGAUCCAGCCCUACCGCGUGGGUGAAGAAGGCCUUCGGGUUGUAAAGCCCUUUUGUUGGGAAAGAAAAGCAGCAGGUUAAUACCCCGCUGUUCUGACGGUACCCAAAGAAUAAGCACCGGCUAACUUCGUG